UGAGGAACAUGACCUUCGGCGGGGGAUAGCCGGCCCAACGGCCGGGUAAUACCGCGUACGACCACAUGGGGACAUCCCUGAGUGGUGAAAGCAGCAAUGCGCCGAUGGAGUGCCUCGCGGCCUAUCAGCUAGUUGGUGAGGUAACGGCUCACCAAGGCGACGACGGGUAGCUGGUCUGAGAGGAUGGCCAGCCACAUUGGGACUGAGACACCGGCCCAGACCUUCGUACCGGGGAGG
rnacentral:rRNA from 1 species